ACUCAAAGGAAUUGACGGGGGCCCGCACAAGCGGUGGAGCAUGUGGUUUAAUUCGAUGCAACGCGAAGAACCUUACCAAGGCUUGACAUGGAGACGAAUAUCGUAGAGAUACGAUAGCCUUCGGGCGUCUCACACAGGUGGUGCAUGGUUGUCGUCAGCUCGUGCCGUGAGGUGUUGGGUUAAGUCCCGCAACGAGCGCAACCCCUAUUCUUAGUAGCCAGCAGGUUAAGCUGGGCACUCUAAGGAGACUGCCGUGGAUAACACGGAGGAAGGCGGGGAUGACGUCAAAUCAUCAUGCUCUUUAUGUCUUGGGCUACACACGUGCUACAAUGGUCACUACAAAGUGAAGCAAACCGGCGACGGCAAGCCAAUCACAAAAAAGUGGCCCCAGUUCGGAUCGCAGUCUGCAACUCGACUGCGUGAAGUUGGAAUCGCUAGUAAUCGCGAAUCAGCAUGUCGCGGUGAAUACGUUCCCGGGCCUUGCACACACCGCCCGU
rnacentral:rRNA from 1 species